rnacentral:sRNA from 1 species
CGUUCAGGUUCGAGCCGAGCGAAGCGAGACAGCAACGCGAACGCGUUGACCCGAAGGGCGAGGC